AGUGAACGCUGGCGGUAGGCCUAACACAUGCAAGUCGAACGGCAGCACAGUAAGAGCUUGCUCUUACGGGUGGCGAGUGGCGGACGGGUGAGGAAUGCAUCGGAAUCUACUUUUUCGUGGGGGAUAACGUAGGGAAACUUACGCUAAUACCGCAUACGACCUACGGGUGAAAGCAGGGGAUCUUCGGACCUUGCGCGAUUGAAUGAGCCGAUGUCGGAUUAGCUAGUUGGCGGGGUAAAGGCCCGCCAAGGCGACGAUCCGUAGCUGGUCUGAGAGGAUGAUCAGCCACACUGGAACUGAGACACGGUCCAGACUCCUACGGGAGGCAGCAGUGGGGAAUAUUGGACAAUGGGCGCAAGCCUGAUCCAGCCAUACCGCGUGGGUGAAGAAGGCCUUCGGGUUGUAAAGCCCUUUUGUUGGGAAAGAAAAGCAGCAGGUUAAUACCCCGCUGUUCUGACGUUACCCAAAGAAUAAGCACCGGCUAACUUCGUG
rnacentral:rRNA from 1 species